UCACAACCAUCUGUAAACCAUUUGUAAUGGGAUCCAAUGCCCUCUUCUGGAGUGUGUUUGAAGACAGUAGACUUAUAUAAAUUAAAUAAAUAAAUCUUUUUUAAAAAUGAAGAAAAUGUCUAAUAGACUCAACUACAUGCCAAGUGGAUAUAAGGUUUUCUCUGACGAGGUUUUCUCUUCCCAGAUAACCCUAGCUUAGGUGCAGUUGACAACAAAUGGACCAGAACACUAAUAUUUUAUGGGUGGGAUGGGAAGAAAUAAUAAUAGUGAUAGUUUACUAAUGCUAUUUCUUCUAUCCCUAUUUGAAUUGUUCUACAUUAUUCAUUUAAUUCUUUCUUUUUAAAGAUUUAUUUAUUUAUUUUAUAUAUAUGAGUAUACUGUAGUUGUACAGAUGGUUGUGAGCCACCAUGUGGUUGUUGGGAAUUGAACUCAGGACCUCUGGAAGAGCAGCUAGUGCUCUUACCUGCUACGCCAUCUCUCCAGCCACAAGCAAUCUAGUUUUAGGCUCUGUUUUGUGAUUCCAUGCUACAAAACAAAAUUUAGCCAGGCAUGGUGAUGGUGCGUGCCUUUAAUCCCGGCAUUUUGAAGACUGAGGUAAGAAGAUUUUAAGUUCAAGCAUAAGCUAGGGCUAUAUGGUGAGAUUCUGUCUUGACCAAAAAAAAAAAAAGCAAACCCUGUACACAGACACAUAAAAUAAA
rnacentral:lncRNA from 1 species